AUGUCCUGUCGCAUCUUGGCCGGAGGACCGAACCCACCAGGCCCACCGCCCUGGGCCCUGGAAGAACCCAGCAGUGAGUGCAGUGGUCUGCGUGCAGGUCAGCUCAGCUGGCAGCCCUGCGGGGUGGGAAUAGGGGUCGAGGGGGCCGCAGCCAGAAGAAUAGCCCCACCAUGUCCUGUCGCAUCUUGGCCGGAGGACCGAACCCACCAGGCCCACCGCCCUGGGCCCUGGAAGAACCCAGCAGUGAGUGCAGUGGUCUGCGUGCAGGUCAGCUCAGCUGUCAGCCCCCCAGGCUGGGGGGGCGGGAGGGGGGGGAGAGAGGACCUCUGCCUCCUCCUCCUCCCCUGUGGAGGUCCCCUCUGCCCCGCGCCCAGCACCGGGCUCCCAGCACCUGAAGGAAGGGAAGGAGGAGAAACAGGCCCCGCACCCUCAUCCUUCACUCAGUCCUGCAGGCACGUGUGUCCAUCCAGCGUGGAGGCUGGACAAUGCUGCCCCAUGCUGUCCACGCCCGAGGCCCUGGAAUCUGUGAUGUGUGAUCUCUCAGAGCAACGGUGACCUCGCAGGUGUGACCAAUGGAAGGGUCUGAUGACGGGGGGAAGGGGUAUCCUGGAUGGUCGGGCGGGCCCCACAUCAUCACAGGGUCCCCAUAGGAAGGAGGCAGGAGGGUCAGCGCGAGAGAAGGAGGUGGAGCAGAGGUCAGCCAGCGACAGGGGACGCUGUGCUGCUGGCUCUGAAGACUGAGGCAGGGCCACGAGCCAAGGACUGCGGGUGCCUCUAGAGAAGACAAGGAGACAGCUCCUCCCUGGAGCCUCCGUAGGAACUGGGCCUGUGACCCCUGGAGUUCAGGACUCCUGCCUCCAGGUUGCUCGUGUUACUGUUGGGGUGACAUGUCCCAGUGGCUGCAGGAAACAAAGGUACCAGCCCACACGCCCACUCUUCCUCCCCGCCUUCAGCCCCGUCCCAGCCUGGCCCCGGAGCUUGUGGUCU
rnacentral:lncRNA from 1 species